rnacentral:rRNA from 1 species
CCUACGGGUGGCAGCAGUUGGGAAUCUUGCACAAUGGGGGAAACCCUGAUGCAGCGACGCCGCGUGGAGGAUGACGGAUCUAGGUCUGUAAACUCCUUUUUCAUGGAAAACGGUACCAUGAGAAUAAGGACCGGCUAACUACGUGCCAGCAGCCGCGGUAAGACGUAGGGUCCAAGCGUUGUCCGGAUUUACUGGGCGUAAAGAGCGCGUAGGCGGUCUUGUAAGUGUGAAGUGAAAUCCCAGGGCUCAACCCGGAAACUGCUUCGCAUACUGCAAGACUUGAGGGAUGCAGAGGUUUGUGGAAUUCCUGGUGUAGCGGUGAAAUGCGUUGAUAUCAGGAGGAACACCCAUGGCGAAGGCAGCAAACUGGGCAUCUCUGACGCUGAGGCGCGAAAGCGUGGGUAGCAAACAGGAUUAGAUACCCUUGUAGUC